ACUAAGGUGGCCUAGUGGCUAAAGCGUCCGCCUCGGAUGCGGAAGAUCGUGGGUUCGUUCCCCCCCCCCGGCU